GACGAACGCUGGCGGCGUGCUUAACACAUGCAAGUCGAACGAUGAAGAAGAGAAACGCGAACUUCGGUUCAACUUUCACUUCGGAUUAGUGGCAGACGGGUGAGUAACGCGUGAGCAACCUACCUCUUACAAAGGGAUAGCCUCGGGAAACCGUGAUUAAUACCAUAUGACACAUUCAUAAGGCAUCUUAAGAAUGUUAAAGCUACGGCGGUAAGAGAUGGGCUCGCGUCCCAUUAGCUAGUUGGUGAGGUAACGGCCCACCAAGGCGACGAUGGGUAACCGGCCUGAGAGGGUGAACGGUCACAUUGGAGCUGAGACACGGUCCAAACUCCUACGGGAGGCAGCAGUGGGGAAUAUUGCACAAUGGAGGGAACUCUGAUGCAGCGACGCCGCGUGAGCGAUGAAGGAAUUCGUUUCGUAAAGCUCUGUUCUAUGGGAAGAAAAGGACUGUACCAUAGGAGAAAGCCCCGGCUAAAUACGUG
rnacentral:rRNA from 1 species